rnacentral:rRNA from 1 species
GACAGAGGUGCCGAGCGUUAGGCGGAAUCACUGGGCUUAAAGCGUGUGUAGGCGGAUCUGUAAGUACCUUGUGAAAUCCCACGGCUCAACCGUGGAACUGCUUGGUAUACUGCGGGUCUUGAGCCACCUAGGGGCAAGUGGAACAAACGGUGGAGCGGUGAAAUGCGUAGAUAUCGUUUGGAACGCCAAUGGUGAAAACAACUUGCUGGGGGUGUGCUGACGCUGAGACACGAAAGCCUGGGGAGCAAACGGG